rnacentral:sRNA from 1 species
CUCAGUGUUCCGAGACUUGGUUAUUAAAUAUGGUGCAGUUGACCCACUGUUGGCUCUCCUUGCAGUUCCUGAUAUGUCAUCUUUAGCAGUAAGUUACUAACAUGAGUAAAGUUACUCACUUCUUCAUUCUAAUUUCCCCCAUCUUCUCAAAAGACAGAAACUCUCAUUGCCUUUUUUUUCCCUCAGUGUGGCUACUUACGUAAUCUUACCUGGACACUUUCAAAUCUUUGCCGCAACAAGAAUCCUGCACCCCCGAUAGAGGCUGUUGAGCAGAUUCUUCCUACCUUAGUUCGGCUCCUGCAUCAUGAUGAUCCAGAAGUAUUAGCAGAUACCUGCUGGGCUAUUUCCUACCUUACUGAUGGUCCAAAUGAACGAAUUGGCAUGAUCGUGAAAACAGGAGUUGUGCCCCAACUUGUGAAGCUUUUAGGAGCUUCUGAAUUGCCAAUUGUGACUCCUGCCCUAAGAGCCAUAGGGAAUAUUGUCACUGGUACAGAUGAACAGACUC